AGAGAGAGGGUAGUGCAUGAGCGAGAGAGGGUAGUGCAUGAGCGAGAGAGGGAGAGGGUAGUGCAUGAGCGAGAGAGGGAGAGGGUAGUGCAUGAGCGAGAGAGGGAGAGGGUAGUGCAUGAGCGAGAGAGAGGGUAGUGCAUGAGCGAGAGAGAGAGGGUAGUGCAUGAGCGAGAGGGUAGUGCAUGAGCGAGAGGGUAGUGCAUGAGCGAGAGGGUAGUGCAUGAGCGAGAGGGUAGUGCAUGAGCGAGAGAGAGAGAGAGGGUAGUGCAUGAGCGAGAGAGAGAGAGAGGGUAGUGCAUGAGCGAGAGAGAGGGUAGUGCAUGAGCGAGAGAGAGGGUAGUGCAUGAGCGAGAGAGGGUAGUGCAUGAGCGAGAGGGUAGUGCAUGAGCGAGAGGGUAAGGGUAGUGCAUGAGCGAGAGAGAGAGGGUAGUGCAUGAGCGAGAGAGAGAGGGUAGUGCAUGAGCGAGAGAGAGAGGGUAGUGCAUGAGCGAGAGAGAGAGGGUAGUGCAUGAGCGAGAGAGAGAGAGGGUAGUGCAUGAGCGAGAGAGAGAGGGUAGUGCAUGAGCGAGAGCGAGAGGGUAGUGCAUGAGAGAGAGAGAGAGGGUAGUGCAUGAGAGAGAGAGGGUAGUGCAUGAGAGAGAGAGAGAGAGGUAGUGCAUGAGCGAGAGAGAGAGCGGGUAGUGCAUGAGCGAGAGAGAGAGCAGGUAGUGCAUGUGCGAGAGAGCGGGUAGUGCAUGUGCGAGAGAGCGGGUAGUGCAUGUGCGAGAGAGCGGGUAGUGCAUGUGUGAGAGAGAGGGUAAGAGGGUAGUGCAUGAGCGAGAGAGGGAAGUGCAUGAGAGGGAGAGAGAGGGAAGUGCAUGAGCGAGAGAGGGAAGUGCAUGAGAGGGAGAGAGAGGGAAGUGCAUGAGAGAGAGAGAGAGUAGUGCAUGAGCUAGAGAGGGUAGAGAGAGAGAGACGGUAGAGAGGGUAGAGAGAGGGAGAGAGAGGGUAGUGCAUGAGCGAGAGAGAGAGGGUAGUGCAUGAGCGAGAACAAGAGAGGGUAGUGCAUGAGCGAGAGAGAGAGAGGGUAGUGCAUGAGCGAGAGAGAGAGGGUAGUGCAUGAGCGAGAGAGAGAGAGUAGUGCAUGAGCGAGAGAGAGAGUAGUGCAUGAGCGGGUAGAGAGAGAGAGAGGGUAGAGAGAGAGAGGGUAGAGAGGUUAGUGCAUGGGAGAGAGAGAGGGUAGUGCACGAG